rnacentral:rRNA from 1 species
AGGAGAAAGAUCCCUUAUAAUAAUAAAGAAAGUUAAACUUUCGCUCUUAGAAGUUUGUAUCUCGUGUGUGGUAGUAGUCAGGAUUAAAAGCCUAACUAGCUAAACGCACGCAGUCGUAACCGAAAGGUUGAUCGACCACAGUGGGCCUGAACAAAGCCCAUGACGAUUGUCACAGCAGUGAGGAAUAUUGGUCAAUAGCCUAACGGCUGAACCAGCAACUUGGAGGAAUGUAUAGCAAUAGCUACUUGUAUCAUUGUAGAUAUGAUGCAAGAUCGACUUGGUCGAAUAAAAUUCUAGGUAGAAUUAUGAUAAUGACAUUGUCUGCCUAUGUGUCUUGACCAAAUUACGUGCCAGCUGUCGCGGUAAUACGUAGAAGACUAGUGUUAUUCAUGUUUAGUCGGUUUAAAGGGUACCUAGACGGUAAAUCAAGCCUACAAAUAAAUGAAGGGACUAUUUUGCUAGAGUUACUUACGAGGGGGUUUUAAAGUACUGCUGGUGUAGAGAUGAAAUUCUGUAAUACCUCUUUUCAAUUGAAAAAUAAUGGCACAGGUAUAGGCGAAGGCAUCCCCUUAUGUGAUAACUGACGUUGAGGGACGAAGGCUUUGUGUAGCGAACAGGAUUAGAUACCCCAGUAGUCAAAGCAGAAAAUGAUGAAUGUCAUAGAUUAGACGUCUAAGUUUAUUCUAUAAAUGAAAGUGUAAGCAUUCCACCUCAAGAGUAAUUUGGCAACAUUGGAACUGAAAUCAUUAGACCGUUUCUGAAACCAGUAGUGAAGUAUGUUGUUUAAUUUGAUGCCACGCAAAAAACCUUACCACAAUUUGAAUAUUUAUAUUUUUUUUUUUAUUAUUGUUUUAUUUUUAAUUUUCUUAAAGGACUAGGAAAGAAUUAUAUUAAAUUAGAUUAUUAAAAAUAAAGGCAAUAAGAUAUAUUUACAAGUGUUGCACGGCUGUCUUCAGUUAAUGUCGCGAGACUCUGGUUAGUUCCAUGAAAUUAACGUAAACCCUUACUUUAUUUUUUAUAUAGAGUAGUUCCCCGCUAUAUUGGAUUUGAUAACAGGGACUAAGACAAGUCAUCA